CCAGACAACAAGUUGGUCUCUUGCGCUACCUCAGGUAUUCUGUUUGAAUGUGAGAUAGUUCUUGCUUAUCAUGGUGCGCUACGUGUUUGAGCAGUUCCACCAACUAUGCAAUCGGCCCCUUCCAAACCAUCGCGAUAACAGACCUCGGGCUCCGAAAAUCCGGGCGAAGGCAAUUGCAUCGAUCACACAAUAUGCGCACUGGAACGUUGUCUUUGAUGUCCAGAAUUAUGGCAUUUUUUUUCCUCUAUCCUUCCAAUGUCGCCUUCAAACAGGAUCAUCCAAAACCUUCGGCUCGAGUCUCGAGUGGCACCCACUUAGAGUGUGCUGGCGGGUGUCGAUAGAAACGGUCAACAAAAUCCAGUUUAUUUGUGUUAAAAUAGCAAAACAAUGCUACGU